GCCAGGGAGACCUAAUGCGCAUGCGCGGCAAUGCUUUCAUAUGGGGAUUUCAGCGACGCUGGAGGUCCUCACAUAGCGUGAGGAUGUCCAGCGACGCUAUAGCACACUUUUCAUGUGCUAAAAUCACAGAAGUGCCCUCUAGUGGCUGUCUAGUAGACAGCCACUAGAGGUGGAGUUAACCCUGCAAGGUAAAUAUUGCAGUUUAUGAAAAAUUCAAUAAUCACACUUGCAGGGUUAAGGGUAGUGGAAGUUGGCACCCAGACCACUCCAAUGGGCAGAAGUGGUCUGGGUGCCUGGAGUGUCCCUUUAAGUCCAUCCAGGACCUACCUUUGGGAGAGCUGGAGUGGAUUUUUUUUCCCUGGGGUCCAGUGUUGCUGCUGACUAUCAUCUUGCUCUGGUCCCUCGCAUACCGUUAAUGAUGUCAGGGCUGGCGUGCAAGAGUGGCGUCACUGCAGGGCGUGCAAGGGAGCAAAGAAAGAAGAGCACCGAGAUGAGUGGCCCUUCGCCGCCUGUCUACAUUACGCACAGCAGUCCUAGGGUGAGGACCCUAGGGUGGCCAGCAGUCCAGAUCUUGGGACCCCAUGACAGGCGGAAUACGGGGCACCCGGUGAAAGUUGCGGGGAUGUCUGAGGGGGCGUUUGGAAAGUGCAGCCCAAGGCAAAUGCCUUGCUAGCCUUGGGAAAGAUACAGCGCUGCAUGCUUCAUAGCAGCAGCAGCCGCAACAUUUAUUAGAAACCUGUUGUCAGCAAGUUGUCAUAGCAGGAGAAUUACUGAAGAUGCAAUUAGAAAAGGAAGAGUGAAAGACUCAGAGACAGCUUGAGUUAGACAGAGAAAACUGGGGCAUUACAGAGAUUUUGUAAUGUGUGGGGACCUCUGUAUUGCAGCUCUGCAUAGUCCAUGACAGUGACACUGUCUGUAGGAUAGGUAUGAGUAUCUACUCAUUGUGCUAGCUCUACCUGCUGUAUGGGUAUCUCUGUUGUCUACAUAGCUCUGUGUAAUUUAUGGAUAGCUUUGUGUUGUGCCUAGCUCUGUGUAUUGCAUGGUUAUCCCUGUAUUAUGCUCAGCUCUGUGUAUUGCAUGGUUAUCUCUGUAUUAUGCUCAGCUCUGUGUAUUGCAUUGGUGUCUCCAUUGUACUUGGUUCUUUGUAUUGUAUGGAUAUCUCUUUGUUAUACCCGUCUCUGUGUAUUGUAUGGAUAACUCUGUACUGUACUCAGAUAUGUCUAUUGUGCUGGUAUCUCUGUAUGGUACCUUGCUUUGAGUUUUGUAUGGAUAUUUCUAUAUAGUAUCAAGCUCUAAAUAGUUUAUUGGGUAACUUUAUUGUAUGCAGCUCUGUGUUUGGGGACUACCAUUAGGGGUUGAGUAUAUCACAGUAGGUUUAGCAGAUAGCUGACAAAAGGUCGAAAGAUGGUGAAGGGCUGAGGAGUCUG